rnacentral:rRNA from 1 species
GAUGAACGCUGGCGGCGUGCCUAAUACAUGCAAGUAGAACGCUGAAGGAGGAGCUUGCUCUUCUGGAUGAGUUGCGAACGGGUGAGUAACGCGUAGGUAACCUGCCUGGUAGCGGGGGAUAACUAUUGGAAACGAUAGCUAAUACCGCAUGACAACAGUUAUUGCAUGAUAACUGUUUAAAAGGGGCAACUGCUCCACUACCAGAUGGACCUGCGUUGUAUUAGCUAGUUGGUGAGGUAACGGCUCACCAAGGCGACGAUACAUAGCCGACCUGAGAGGGUGAUCGGCCACACUGGGACUGAGACACGGCCCAGACUCCUACGGGAGGCAGCAGUAGGGAAUCUUCGGCAAUGGACGGAAGUCUGACCGAGCAACGCCGCGUGAGUGAAGAAGGUUUUCGGAUCGUAAAGCUCUGUUGUAAGAGAAGAACGAGUGUGAGAGUGGAAAGUUCACACUGUGACGGUAUCUUACCAGAAAGGGACGGCCAACUACGUG